rnacentral:rRNA from 1 species
UGGGGAAUCUUGCGCAAUGGGCGAAAGCCUGACGCAGCGACGCCGCGUGAGUGAUGAAGGCCUUCGGGUUGUAAAGCUCUGUGGAGAGGGACGAAUAAGUGUUGGCUAACAUCCAGCAUGAUGACGGUACCUUUUUAGCAAGCACCGGCUAACUCUGUGCCAGCAGCCGCGGUAAGACAGAGGGUGCAAACGUUGUUCGGAAUUACUGGGCGUAAAGCGCGUGUAGGCGGCUUGGCAAGUCGGGUGUGAAAGCCCCGGGCUCAACCUGGGAAGUGCACUCGAAACUGCUUGGCUUGAGUACUGGAGAGGGAAGCGGAAUUCUCGGUGUAGAGGUGAAAUUCGUAGAUAUCGAGAGGAACACCGGUGGCGAAGGCGGCUUCCUGGACAGAUACUGACACUGAGGCACGAAAGCGUGGGGAGCAAA